rnacentral:miRNA from 1 species
UGUGUAGAGGUGGGAAAGAUGC